ACAGCUGAGACGUGACGAGGCUCUGGAUGAACAGCUAAGACGUGGGGAGACUCUAGAAGGUCAGCUGUGAUGGGACGUGACCCUGGACGAACAGCUGAGACG